UUGGGAUGUAUCCCGAUCUACAGCCACAGAACUUCAGAGGCUCAACGUGGGGUUUUCCUUGGUAACUUAGAGGCUUGGGAUAAAAGUGAGGACGCCCUUGUCAGUUGGGUAAUGUAAUUGAUCAUCCUAUUUCGUAGCAGAGCAACUAAUUCUUGGAGAAUUCCUUGCCUGGAUUCACACAAAUCUUCCAUGACUGAGCACAGAUUCCAGAGAGCAGAGCUGGGAGCCUGACACCCCCAAAUAUGACAUCUAAGCAUACAGUGCAAACUGACCCUUCUACCGUCCCCUCUAAAGACCCAGCCAUGAAAGCAUAGCGUCUCUCCUCCUCUGAAGGUGGUUGUAAGACCCGCUUUCCAGAGGGUCCUGGCCUUUCCCAGGAGGAAGGAGGCUAGUGACGAUCCUGGGCAUCCCUGCUGAACCGUUUGCUGCUGUAGGCUAGCACUCCACUCCUCCUAUUUGUCUAAAAGUGCAGUUUCCCCUGGGCCUUCACUUUCUGAAGGCUCCCGGGUCACUUAAAACUUACACUAAAUAGAAAUGUUAUGCUUUU
ensembl:processed_transcript